rnacentral:sRNA from 1 species
UUUAUCGGAAGCUAACCUAGGAGCGCGACUUCCUGUCGCAACGGUUAGCUGACCCGCUUCGUGCGGG